rnacentral:rRNA from 1 species
CAGCCGCCGCGGUAAUACGUAGGUGGCAAGCGUUGUCCGGAAUUAUUGGGCGUAAAGGGCUCGCAGGCGGUUUCUUAAGUCUGAUGUGAAAGCCCCUGGCUCAACCGGGGAGGGUCAUUGGAAACUGGGAAACUUGAGUGCAGAAGAGGAGAGUGGAAUUCCACGUGUAGCGGUGAAAUGCGUAGAGAUGUGGAGGAACACCAGUGGCGAAGGCGACUCUCUGGUCUGUAACUGACGCUGAGGAGCGAAAGCGUGGGGAGCGAACAGGAUUAGAUACCCCUGUAGUCCCUGUCUCUUAUAC